rnacentral:misc_RNA from 1 species
CUAAAAGAGACUGCUCAUCUGAGAGAUCAUGAGCCUGGAGUGCCACAACAAGGCUCAUUCUGGUCUAGGUAUGCAGAAAAUUUGGUGGCCAGCACUAGAUUGAGUAUCAAAUACAGGCAACAAUCUGGGACAGAUUCUGGUGCUGGCAGCUCUCUGGAGAAGCCAGCUGAGCCAGAUUUUUUCUUAGAUGAGAGGUGAAUAAUCGACUCUUUUGAAAAGGGGAG